rnacentral:rRNA from 1 species
UACGUAGGGUGCAGGCGUUAAUCGGAAUUACUGGGCGUAAAGCGUGCGCAGGCGGUUUGCUAAGAGAGAUGUGAAAUCCCCGGGCUCAACCCGGGAACUGCGUCCGAUACUGGCAGGCUUGGAAUUCGGGAGAGGGAUGCAGAAUUCCAGGUGUAGCGGUGAAAUGCGUAGAUAUCUGGAGGAAUACCGGUGGCGAAGGCGGCAUCCUGGACCGACAUUGACGCUGAACGGCGAAAGCUAGGGGAGCAA